GAAAGUAAUGAAGGGCGUACGGUGGAUGCCUAGGCUCUUACAGGCGAUGAAGGACGUGAUAAGCUGCGAAAAGCCGCGGUGAGGCGCAAAUGGCCCUUGACCCGCGGAUCUCCGAAUGGGACAACCCAAUAUCUUGAAGAGAUAUUAUCCCGCCGAUGCGGGAGGCGAACGCGGGGAACUGAAACAUCUUAGUACCCGCAGGAAAAGAAAAUAAAGAAUGAUUCCCCCAGUAGUGGCGAGCGACCGGGGAAGAGCCCAAACCGACGUUGUCUCGGCAUCGUCGGGGUUGUAGGACCGCGCCAUCGCAAGAAAGGCCGUGAGUGGAAGCGACUGGAAAGCCGCGCCAUAGAGGGUGACAGCCCCUUACACGAAGCAGCCUGAAGCGUAGCGGACUCCUGAGUAGCGCGGGACACGAGUAAUCCUGUGUGAAUCCGCCGGGCCCAUCCGGCAAGGCUAAAUACUCGUAAGAGACCGAUAGUGAACCAGUACCGUGAGGGAAAGGUGAAAAGUACCCCUUGCAGGGGAGUGAAAUAGUUCCUGAAACCGUACGCCUACAAGCGGUCGGAGCAUCUUGAAUGAUGUGACGGCGUGCCUUUUGCAUAAUGAACCUACGAGUUGCCGUCACCAGCGAGGUUAAGUGCGAUGACGCACCGAGCCGCAGCGGAAGCGAGUCUUAAAAGGGCGCGAUAGUUGGUGGAGGCAGACGCGAAACCGAGUGAUCUACACUUGUCCAGGAUGAAGUCCCGGUAACACGGGAUGGAGGUCCGCACCAAUAAGCGUUGAAAAGCUUCUGGAUGAGGUGAGUGUAGGAGUGAAAGGCCAAUCAAACUCGGAGAUAGCUCGUACUCCCCGAAAGGCAUUUAGGUGCCGCCUGUGGCGUUCCCGACGUGAGGUAGAGCGACUGAUAGGAUGCGAGGGCUUCACCGCCUAUCAAGUCCUGACAAACUCCGAAUGCACGUCGGCCAAGCCAUGGAGUAAGGGCAUGGGUGCUAAGGUCCGUGCCCGAGAGGAGAAGAAUCCAGACCACCGGCUAAGGUCCCGAAAUACUGGUUAAGUUAGACUAACGCAGUCCGGCCCCCAAGACAGCUAGGAUGUUGGCUUGGAAGCAGCCAUUCAUUCAAAGAGUGCGUAACAGCUCACUAGUCGAGGAGCUGGGCGUGGAUAAUAAUCGGGUAUAAAACCAGUUACCGAAGCCGUGGGAUGCUUAAGCAUCGGUAGGGGAGCAUUGCAUGCGGCUUAGAAGGCGGGGCGCGAGCCCCUCUGGAGCGCAUGGAAACGCAAAUGUAGGUAUAAGUAACGACAAGGGGGGUGGGAUGCCCCCCCGCCGAAAGACCAAGGUUUCCUGAACAACGCUAAUCGGUUCAGGGUCAGUCGGGUCCUAAGCAUAAGCCGUAUGGCGAGGGCGAUGGAUGAAACGGUUAAUAUUCCGUUACUGUCUUGGUGUGUGACGCGGCGACGGAGUAGUGACACGGCCGCCUCCUGACGGAAAAGGGGGUUGAAGCGCAAAGGUGUCGAGGAAGGCAGGCAAAUCCACCUUCCGAGCCGAAGCGCGAUAGUACGCCGCGCCCUUUUGGGCAAGGCGAUAGUGCCGGUAAUCAGACUUCCAAGAAAACCCGCUAAACUUCAGCACCAAGUCACCCGUACUCUAAACGGACACACGUGGUCGGGUAGAAUAUACUAAGGCGCUUGGGAGAUUCACGGUUAAGGAACUAGGCAAAUUGACCCCGUACCUUCGGAAUAAGGGGUCCUCGCUUUUGCGAGGCGCAGAGAAUAGGUCCAGGCAACUGUUUAACAAAAACACAGGGCUGUGCAAAUUUGAAAGAAGAAGUAUACAGCCUGACACCUGCCCGGUGCCGGAAGGUUAAGAGGAGAGCUCAUCAGCGAUGAGAAGGUUUGAAUUGAAGCCCCGGUAAACGGCGGCCGUAACUAUAACGGUCCUAAGGUAGCGAAAUUCCUUGUCGGGUAAGUUC
rnacentral:rRNA from 1 species